CCCCGAGGGGAUAGACCAGCAGGUAACAACAGCACGGACUUGACCCGGCGAGUGGUCGGACAAGGUCGGUGGGACCAGCAGACAACUCCGGCCAGUGAUAAAGCGGCCAGCUGUUGUCAACGCCACAAGAUGAGACCAGUUGCUGCAGCAACGGAUGCCACACCACUCUAGAGAAGGCAUGCAUGUGACCAGUUUCGUUUUUCUCUCAAGGGUCUUUCAAUCCCCGCCGAGUACGAAAAGCUCCGACUGCAUUCAUGUCCUACGCAUUCAGAUUUGAUGAUCACUCCACACCAUUUACAUCUGGCAACUAACUUCACACGGUGAUUUAAUGCACCAGAAUUCGACGGAUAUGAUGUGAAGAUAAUGACAUGCUUGGAGCUGAUAUCCAUGAUGUACUACGAAGGACCAUUAUAGCAUGUGCCUCCAGUUACUGAAGAAAAUCAUGACAAACUUCAAUCAGGACAGCCAGUUUCGAUCCUGAGGCUUCAAAUUAAGAAACUUCAUGUGAUAAUAACAGCUGUUUACAAUUAAUUUCGACUGUACGGGAAACAAAAAACCGUUCUUGUAUUAUAAACUUCUUCUGUGACAGAAGAGCUUGUUACAGGAUUGAGGCAUUCAAUGUGUGGGCUCUAGGAGCUACGAAAUUAGCGCUCGUUACCUUGCUGUAUCUAACUGCUUCAACUUUUCCUUACCUGAGGGUAUCUCGAUAGUUGUCAAUGUACGUCUAAUAAUAAAAGAGAAAA